UGCGCAAAACUGGAGUCACAUUUAGUAUUUUCUUGAAAGGAAAUGAAUAAUAAUAAUAAUAAUAUUUAAUAUUUAUAUUGCGCAAAUUAACAUGUUUUAGUAUAAUUACAUAGGUGAUUAUUGAAAAUUCUCCACGCUGAUUGGUUACCGUUGAGGUGAUUAUUACGCGAUAAUCACCUAAGCGAUUUUCAAAAUGGCGGCUGAAGCCGUUUUGUCAAUUAAAAGACGAAGAAAUGUGCAUUUUAAUUUUUUUUUCCAAAUAAUCACCCAUGAAAUUAUACUAAAACAAUUAUUCACCUCAGGCUCGGUGAUUAUCGUGAAUAAAAACCUCGACUUCGUGUCGGUUUUUAUUCACCGAUAAUCACCUCGCCUUCGGCGAAUAAUUGUUAAAUAGUAUAUGAUCAAAUGCGCAUCACAACACAAUUACACUAAAAUUAUUCUAAAAAAUAUAAACAAGAUUAUAUAGAUUAUAUGUUACAUGAAGUAUUUACAUUAAAGGCUUCUUGAAAAUAAUAAGUCUUAACUAAUUUCUUGAAAAUACUAAAGUUAUGCAGAUUUCUUAUAUACAUAGAUAAUUCAUUCCAGAUUUUUGGAGUGGAGGUUACGAAUGCUCUGUCGCCGAGUGAUUUCUUUGUUUUUUGUACUAUAGUCUUCAAGCAAUGUGCCUUCGGCAGAUCUUAGGCUAUAGCACGAUGUAUUUAUGAUGUAUGAUGUAUGUUGUGAUCUAUAGCACGAUGUAUUUAUUUAUUUUAUUUUUUUUUUAUUUUUUUUUUUUAUUUAUUUUAUGUAUUACUUUUAAAAGAUUGACAAGAUAGAGAGGUGGAUACUGAUGGAUACAUUUAAAAGCAAGCAUGGCAAUUUUGAACUUGAUCCUUAAUCGAACAGGACGCCAGUGUAAUUUGAUGAGAGUCGGAGUGAUGUGAUCAUGUUUAGGGAUAGAACAGAUAAGACGUGUUGCUGUAUUUUGUAGCUGUUGUAGUUUAGACAGAUGUACAUCUGUGACACCAAUGAACAAUUGAAAUAUAUAUUUCAUCACUUAUUAUAUAAUAGCAAACUAGAUAUUAAGAUCAAGCAUAAUACGCAUCUACCAGGGCUGUAAACAGGGGAAAGAGAAUUUAACAUACUAAUUUUACAAUGUCAUUAUGAUCAUAAAAAAUAAUCAUGCAGUCACGAAAUACAAAUUCCAUUCAAACAAUACUACACUUGCACAAAAUACAAUACUUUUGAAAUUAAU